UAGGGAAUCUUCGGCAAUGGGGGCAACCCUGACCGAGCAACGCCGCGUGAGUGAAGAAGGUUUUCGGAUCGUAAAGCUCUGUUGUAAGUCAAGAACGAGUGUGAGAGUGGAAAGUUCACACUGUGACGGUAGCUUACCAGAAAGGGACGGCUAACUACGUGCCAGCAGCCGCGGUAAUACGUAGGUCCCGAGCGUUGUCCGGAUUUAUUGGGCGUAAAGCGAGCGCAGGCGGUUUGAUAAGUCUGAAGUUAAAGGCUGUGGCUCAACCAUAGUUCGCUUUGGAAACUGUCAAACUUGAGUGCAGAAGGGGAGAGUGGAAUUCCAUGUGUAGCGGUGAAAUGCGUAGAUAUAUGGAGGAACACCGGUGGCGAAAGCGGCUCUCUGGUCUGUAACUGACGCUGAGGCUCGAAAGCGUGGGGAGCAAACAGGAUUAGAUACCCUGGUAGUCCACGCCGUAAACGAUGAGUGCUAGGUGUUAGACCCUUUCCGGGGUUUAGUGCCGUAGCUAACGCAUUAAGCACUCCGCCUGGGGAGUACGACCGCAAGGUUG
rnacentral:rRNA from 1 species